UACGUAGGGUGCAAGCGUUGUCCGGAAUUAUUGGGCGUAAAGAGCUCGUAGGCGGUUUGUCGCGUCUGCUGUGAAAACUCGGGGCUUAACCCCGGGCCUGCAGUGGGUACGGGCAGACUAGAGUGCGGUAGGGGAGACUGGAAUUCCUGGUGUAGCGGUGAAAUGCGCAGAUAUCGGGAGGAACACCGGUGGCGAAGGCGGUUCUCUGGGCCUGACCUGACGCUGAGGAGCGAAAGCGUGGGGAGCGAACAGG
rnacentral:rRNA from 1 species